AUGGGCGUAGCGGAGAUGGCUAACGCACCAACCCGCAAGGUUGGAGAGCACAGGUUCAAGUCCUGUCGCCCAUGCCA
rnacentral:tRNA from 1 species